rnacentral:tRNA from 1 species
CCCGAUAUAGCUCAGCGGUAGAACGGCGGCCUCAUAAGUCGUGCCGGUCGGCGGUUCGAUUCCGCCUGUCGGGACCA